rnacentral:rRNA from 1 species
GACGAACGCUGGCGGCGUGCUUAACACAUGCAAGUCGAACGGAAAGGCCCUGCUUUUGUGGGGUGCUCGAGGGGCGAACGGGUGAGUAACACGUGAGUAACCUGCCCUUGACUUUGGGAUAACUUCAGGAAACUGGGGCUAAUACCGGAUAGGAUCUCCUGCUGCAUGGUGGGGGUUGGAAAGUUUCGGCGGUUGGGGAUGGACUCGCGGCUUAUCAGCUUGUUGGUGGGGUAGUGGCUUACCAAGGGUUUGACGGGUAGCCGGCAUGAGAGGGUGACCGGCGACAUUGGGACUGAGAGACGGACCAGACUCGUACGGGAGGCAGCAGUGGCGAAUAUUGCACAAUGGGCGGAAGCCUGAUGCAGCAACGCCGCGUGCGGGAUGACGGCCUUCGGGUUGUAAACCGCUUUCGCCUGUGACGAAGCGGGAGUGACGGUAAUGGGUAAAGAAGCACCGGCUAACUACGUG